GACAGAGGGUGCAAACGUUGUUCGGAAUUACUGGGCGUAAAGCGCGUGUAGGUGGCAAGGCAAGUCGGAUGUGAAAGCCCACGGCUCAACCGUGGAAGUGCACCCGAAACUGCCUCGCUAGAGUCUCGGAGAGGAAGGUGGAAUGCUUGGUGUAGAGGUGAAAUUCGUAGAUAUUCGCAAGAACACCAGUGGCGAAGGCGGCUGACUGGUCCGGUUCUGACGCUGAGGCGCGAAAGCCAGGGGAGCAAACGGG
rnacentral:rRNA from 1 species